GGUAGCAAACAGGAUUAGGUACCCUGGUAGUCCAUACUAUAAACAAUGAAUAUUAAAUAUUAAUAAAUUAUAUUUAUUUUUUAGAUUAUAUAUAAGUUUUUUGUAAUAUUUUUUUAUGAAAAAUUAUAUUAAUUUUUAAUGAAUAUUUUCAAUUAAUAUAAAAAGUUAACACGUUAAAUAUUUCGCCUGGGGAGUAAAACCGCAAGGUUGAAACUCAAAGGAAUUGACGGGAGCUUAUACGUACGGUGGAGCAUGUGGUUUAAUCCGAUAGUCCGCGUGGAAUCUUACCAAUUUUUGACAGUUUAUAAUUUUUUUUAUUAUAAAACAGGUGUUGCAUGGUCGUCGUCAGCUUUUAUUUUGAAGUUAAGAUAUAAGUUUAACCCUUGCUUUAAGUUGCUAUUAUUUAAAAGUAUUAAAGGUUAAUUUUUGUUAAUUUUUAAUUAUUAAAUAAGUACU
rnacentral:rRNA from 1 species